CCCCCUUCGAAAAAGAGGGGGUAUAUUGCUUUGCUCAUGUCGGUCUGUCGGUCGGUCGGUCCGUCCACCAGGUGGUUGUCAGACGAUAACUCAAGAACGCUUGGGCCUAGGAUCAUGAAACUUCAUAGGUACAUUGAUCAUGACUCGCAGAUGACCCCUAUUGAUUUUGAGGUCACUAGGUCAAAGGUCAAGGUCACGGUGACCCGAAAUAGUAAAAUGGUUUCCGGAUGAUAACUCAAGAACGCAUACGCCUAGGAUCAUGAAACUUCAUAGGUAGAUUGAUCAUAACUCGCAGAUGACCCCUAUUGAUUUUGAGGUCACUAGGUCAAA